GCAUAACGCGGAACCAACAGUUGGCAACAUUCAUUCGCGCGUCAUUGCUUCGUUCGCUUCGUCUUCGCAACGAGAGCCGCCAUCUUCUCGCGCCUAACGUUUUGUAUGGCUUUGUUCUCUGCAAUCCGCGCACGCAGCUCAUCGGUGGAUGCACGUCUGCUCGGCGUCGCAAUGCGGCCUGCGUCAUUUUUUGGUGUUCGCGCAAUCGGUGUGAAGCAUGUCGCAUGUGAAAUGUUUGGUAGAAGUGCCUCACGUCCAAGUCAAGCCGCCGUACGGGUGUAUGGCUGUGCGCCCUGUUCUCGGAAGCGUCAACGGCUUUCCGGCAUGCGGAUUUCAGCGUUUGGACUCGACUUUUGGUGAGGCUGUCGAUCGACCUUGGGCCUGGUGACAGCACACCCGACAUCGCCAAAGUGCAGCCUAUCAGUUGAGUGCCCCCGAAUGGACCAUCAACAUCGGAAACUGAAGCAGAGCCAGGGGGAAAAAGCUCCGGUAACACCAUGCAUUCAGUAUGGUGGCCCAGACGUGUAUGCAAGCAACCUCCUUCAUGUGGACCAAGAACUACUCUGCAGUGUCUCACAGACUUCCAUGCGAAGCCCUCAACAUUCUCGUCUCAGUGGAAUGGCUGCCCAUCUAUCUGCGUGUCCAUCACCAAGACAGCUAGUUGUAAAGCUCCUGUACCCGUUUAAGAAAGCUUAAUGAUUUUUUUUAUUUAGUUUUCACGGUUGGCCGUAGAAUCUUAACAUUUUUGAUGUUUCUAACGUUUUUACCUGGCACAAAGUGGCGCAAUAACUUUAAACCAGUGUAAUGUAUUUAAGUGAUGCUCACUCUAAUGCCUAUCUGGUUUUGUUUGUGUUUAAGAAAUUUGAAUGUCUGAUGAGGUAACAGCAUUUAAAUUUGUCAUCGUGGCUUGGUUCAAUGAGCUGCUAGGAAAUAAGAUGCAAAACUUAUCACAUGCCAGUUGUAGCAUUUUUGUAUUCAUGACUAAAGUAUACACAUUUCAAAAGAUGGAAAGUGGGGAAAAAAAGCCUCAAGAACAUAAUCAUCCUAGGAUUGUCAUGUCCUUACAACUCUGCAAUGACUAAUGCCUCAUGCAUCUUGGGAGCACAAUGGUCGCAAUGCCUACAGGUAUACUUGAUAAGAGACUAGCUUGCAAAAAUUUAGUUGAGAGUUAGCGCUCAUCCUGUCUGCUUCUAGUCUGUGUCCAUGCCACUUCGCGCUACAAUCCAAGAUCAUGUUACUGUACCAACUCGCCCAACUUUUUAUCCUUGUGUUAAAGACACACUCAGACUUGUUCUUACUUAUGUGACCUGUUAUUUUUGUGCUUUAUAAUAAGAUGCAGUGCUUUUCGAAUGAAAACGUGAUAUUUAGUAGUGAGGUUAUUUAAAAAACUGUUCUGCUUAAAAUUUAAUUGAGCAAGCCUGUGCCAUUAUUCGGUGCUUAUGUCUUUGUAUUGGUAUGGUUUUACUCAUCUUCCUUUUUACUUUUAAAAUGUGCAAACAUUAUUAUGUAACCAUUUCUCUUGAAUGAAAUAAAUACUUCUGACAUUUCGUCACAAAUUUUACAA